GGCAUGGGGGAAACCCUGACUCAGCAACGCCGCGUGAGUGAUGAAGGCCUUCGGGUCGUAAAGCUCUGUCCUUGGGGACGAAGAAUGACGGUACCCAAGAAGAAAGCCACGGCUAACUACGUG
rnacentral:rRNA from 1 species